GUAUGGAGUGGGAAGGUGUAUGUGUGCGCGAUGGCAGUGUGGUGUAGGGGGAGAGGGGGCGGACCCAUUAGCAUAUGGUCUAAGGCCUAUGGUGAGGUCUGUGCCAUCGCUGUGAACUUGUCAGGGUCUUUUGUGUGUUUGAGGAGCAGGUUUUUACGUUGUUUUAUUCGUUUUUUUAUGUCCAAAGACCCUUUGAUUUGAAUAUUUAUAUUACAAAGCCUCGGCGAAGGUCAAAAUUACCAAGCAUUUUUAUUAUCAUAAUUUCAUUCAAGAUGUAUUUUCACUUUCUAAGAUUGAAGAUGAAAUUACGUACAUUAUUAUAUAGUUAUUAUUACUACUAUUUCUAUUAUUAUUAUUGUUGUUGUUGCUCUUGCUGUUGUUGUUAUCAAUCUUAUUAGUGUUCAUAUUAUUAUCAAUGUCCUGAAUAUUAUUAAUACUGUUAUUAUUGCUAUUAUUGUUAUCGUUAUCAUCAUUAUUUUCUCCAAGACCCCGUUUCACUUCCGAAAAGUGAGACCAGAAAGCGUGCGUUGUCUGACCCAGAGGAAGGCGUUGUGACAGCGCUGGCGCCGUGACUCACCUGGGGAAGCUGGAAAUUCUGUGCGCGUCAUCAGCCUUCCGAUUGCUGUGCUGUGCUUAUGUGUUUUGUGGUGAUUGUGGUGUUUGUUGAGGUGUCAGAGGCGCCUGCAUAGCUGAAUGGGCGGUUUUGCUGUGAUUGCUUCGUAUGUGAGGCAGCGUUUCCCGCCGUUGGCGCAGGGACGGAGGUGAGUGCCCCAGAUCUUUUCCGAGAGAACGGGAGGAUUCCUGAGCGAACAGU